rnacentral:sRNA from 12 species
UACAGGUAUGCGCGGGAAACUUCUCAGGUCGUCCGUAAGGAUGGCAGCCCCAAGUGGGUGGGAUCCUGAGACCCGGGACCUGUAAAUUA